rnacentral:lncRNA from 1 species
CAUAAUUUCGGAUUUUUUCCGGUGAUUUUGGCGACACGGAGGAGAGAAAGUUUCCGGGUAAGGUCCUUAAGCUGGCUCUGUCUUCGUCUAGUCUCGCAGCUCGUGAACUUCUGACCGUAGCUUCAUACAAGAGAAAACGACAAAUUUCUAAAACCACGAGGCAAGAAUAGUCGGAAAGAUCACUGCUACACCAUUUGCGAUCGACUCCGGCGAGGUCGCUUUCCUCUUCGCGGCUCUCUCCGCCCAACGAUUCCGUGGGCUCGC